UUGGGGGUCUCUUCCCCUCUAGUAGUUCCUCACAGUUUUGUGCAAAGUCGGGCCAACUUGGUUGGCUCUGCCUUGUGCUGUAGAUCUGGUUGUUGGCAUAGAGACCCUCCUUUUAGGAGACUUGUGCCACUACUAAGAUCUAGGCUGCUUGAAAAGAGACGUAUGGACCCUUCUUUCAGGAGACCUAUGUCUCGAGUCAAAGCAAGCAAGGCAAGCCUUUGGGGCUCUAGUACUAACUAUCCCCAAAGGUGUUUAUUCUUCUCGUGUAAACCAUGAUGUACGAAAAAGUUAGUUGUUAACUUAAAAACAACUCUUGGCAAUGGAUCUCUUGGUUCUCGCAUCGAUGAAGAGCGUAGCAAAGUGCGAUAAUUAUUGCGACUUGCAUUCAUAGCGAAUCAUCGAGUUCUCGAACGCAUCUUGCGCCUAGUAGUCAAUCUACUAGGCACAGUUGUUUCAGUAUCUGCAACUACCAAUCAGUUCAACUUGGUUCUUUGAACCUAAGCGAGCUGGAAAUGGGCUUGUGUUGAUGGCAUUCAGUUGCUGUCAUGGCCUUAAAUACAUUUAGUCCUAGGCAAUUGGCUUUAGUCAUUUGCCGGAUGUAGACUCUAGAGUGCCUGAGGAGCAACGACUUGGUUAGUGAGUUCAUAAUUCCAAGUCAAUCAGUCUCUUCUUGA
rnacentral:rRNA from 1 species